UUUGUUUUCCUUUUUCAUUUAGGUAGCAAUUACUGUUCUCUUUAAAACAGUGUGCACCGACAAGAACCCAGACAGAAAUAGUGCUGUGCAGAAGGUGAAGUGUAACGUGGAAAGGAAAGAUCUGCAGGUCAUGAUUUGCCUGUCUUCAAAUAGGAGAAACUCAAGCACAUGCAAACUGUGCAAAACAUUAUGCAUAUGAGCACACUAGCUGCCCUGUAAUCCUUGAACCCUGCUGAAUUCACACCCUGGUGAUAAAUAAACAUUAAAGGGAUGCAACUGAAUUAGGAAAACAUUCUGUCCAGGUUUCGAUCAAGAGGAACCUGUGCAGGGUUCUGUGGUUGUCUCCAAUAGCCCUGGCUGAGAAGGCACUUUCCUGACCAGUAUGGUGAGCUCCCAUCUUCCCAUGAGCAGUGAUCCUUGUGGCCUUGCCACACAGCAAUUUCAGAAAGCAGUGCUACGUUCCUAACUUAAAAGCAAAACCUGUUCCUUUGCUGCACAUCGUGCGAGUCUGCAGACACAGUGCAGGAAGAUGGGCAGAGGCCAGGAGCGCUUUCAUCUUAAUGGGGCUCUGCAUGUGUGUGAACGUCCCGGGGGGAGCCCUCUCAGGGAAGAGCUUCAGAGCCCGAGGCAGUGUGCAGUGCCGAUAAGGAGAUGAAACAAUAGCUGCGACACCGAGAGCCUUCACACAAUUA